GCAUCAGUGGUUUAGUGGUAAAAUCCAUUGUUGCCAUCGAUGGGCCCCGUGUUCGAUUCACGGCUGAUGCA